rnacentral:rRNA from 1 species
GGGGGCCCGCACAAGCGGCGGAGCAUGCGGAUUAAUUCGAUGCAACGCGAAGAACCUUACCAAGGCUUGACAUGGACUGGAAAUACCUGGAAACAGGUGCCCCGCUUGCGGUCGGUUCACAGGCGGUGCAUGGUUGUCGUCAGCUCGUGUCGUGAGAUGUUGGGUUAAGUCCCGCAACGAGCGCAACCCUCGUUCUAUGUUGCCAGCGCGUUAUGGCGGGGACUCAUAGGAGACUGCCGGGGUCAACUCGGAGGAAGGUGGGGACGACGUCAAAUCAUCAUGCCCCUUAUGUCUUGGGCUUCACGCAUGCUACAAUGGCCGGUACAAAGGGUUGCGAUACUGUGAGGUGGAGCUAAUCCCAAAAAGCCGGUCUCAGUUCGGAUUGGGGUCUGCAACUCGACCCCAUGAAGUCGGAGUCGCUAGUAAUCGCAGAUCAGCAACGCUGCGGUGAAUACGUUCCCGGGCCUUGUACACACCGCCCGUCAAGUCACGAAAGUUGGUAACACCCGAAGCCGGUGGCCUAACCCCUUGUGGGAGGGAGCUGUCGAAGGUGGGACUGGCGAUUGGGACUAAG